CAGCAAACCCUAACUCCCUGUAUCCCACUUUCCCCGCCCUGCCUUCAUCAACCGCCACCGCCACCCCCACCCCUGGCCAGCCAAUCGUCAAAGAUCUGGCAAUCAGCCACCAUCCCGUACCUCUUUUCAUCAUCUUUGAAGAUACAGGAUUUCAGCUCACUUCAUCAAGCAACACUGAUCUUAAUUUUCUAUAAUAAUCCAAAUCCAUAACAGAAAAUCAUCAUACAUUUUGCACUCUUGUUUUUUUAUAUUUUUCUGAUAUCAAAUCCACCGAGAGAAAGUGAGAAGAUUGUUGCCGUACCCAAAAGAAAAUGCUAAUAAAGGUUGGUACAGGGGAGCCCCCUCCCCCAACCUACAGUUCUAGGUUUGGUUAGAAUUGGUGAUCUCGGAAUACUUAAAUGAAAAUGAGACAAAGUUGCUUUCGACUAAUGAAGUUAAAACUAUGGGAAUUACGUUCUUUUUGUGACCUUUUCAAUAUUAAAAGAACCACUCGUGAUAGUAAGGAAGUCGUUGCGAUGAAAUUGAUAGCUUUUCUAAAAUAUCCACUUAGAAACCGUAACGAAUAAAAGCUGCCUGAGCGACUGAACCGGUUGAGGAUUUACGUUCGUUUUGUCAGCUUUUCAAUAUUAAAAUAACAACUCGUGAUAGUUGGGACGUCCUUGAAGAGAUGUAAUUAAUACAUUUUCUGAAAUUUCCACUUGAAAACCCUAACGAAGAAAAUGUUUGUUUUCCAACACGCAUGAAUCAUGAGUACCAGUUCAUACAGAUACAGGAGAUGAGGAGGAUGUAGAGUCAGAUACAGGAGGGAAUGCCCAAUUCAUGAAGUUAGAUAAAAUGUUUGUUCCAACACGCAUGAGUCAUGAGUACCGGUUCAUGACGAGGAUGUAGAGUGAGAUACAGGAGGGAAUGCCCAAUUCAUGAAGUUAGAUAAAAUGUUUGUUUUCCAACACGCAUGAGUCAUGAGUCAUGAGUACCCGUUCAUACAGAUACAGGAGAUGAGGAAGAUGUAGAGUCGGAUACAGGAGGGAAUGCCCAAUUCAUGAAGUUAGAUGGAUAGAGUAGCAUUGUAAUGCAUUGUGAUUUAGAUUGCUCGUCAUAGUUUCAUUUGUUAGAUCCAUGUAUUUUUGAUAUAGUUUGCGUGAUCUGGUCUGUCUAGUCACUCGGUUCAUUUCCUGCAUUACAUGUCCCUUUUAUUUACUAUGAGGGGGGCCGUGAGGGCAUUUCUUUGUAUCUCUUUUAUUUCAGUAAUGUAUUCCAAAGGGCGCAAGUCCUUUUAUCCAAAAAAAAGAGUACACUAUGGAACCUGUUUGAAGUUAACCAUGAACUCAGGAAAGGAAGAUAGUUGGACUGGCAAUGAAGGGGUUUGACUUAGGGGUCAUUUUUUUGCAUUGUCGCAAGCUAUUUACGCACUUAAUGACAACACUUGAGUUCCCUAUAGAGACAACAAGUUGACACGUAUUUUGCAGGAUUCACUUGGAAAACAAGUCACGCCCUCAUGGUAGCCUGUCUGCUCAGAAGCAUAAUACUCCAGAAAUCCAAGUUGACAUGGAAGCAAAGCUUCGUGCAUGUUUUUUUCAAAAGGCAAGACAAAACGUGUUAGGGGAAAGGAACAAAAGAAAUCGUUCAAAGCAACAAUCAUCAAACAAAAGGGGACAUGAAACGAGUCUAAAAAAAUGAACUGAUGCAUUAGAAAUUUUUAGUAACCCGUU